AUGGGGGAUGCCUGGCUCCGACUCCAGGCAUAUUCACAUUUAAGGAUGAACUUCCUCUCUGAGAACUUCAAAGUCUCCCUGUUUGAGUUUAUGCAGCAUUGUCUUAGAGGGUCUACUUUGUUUUCCAGAACCAGAGGAAGAAAUUGGCAGAGAAUCCUGGAGAACGAGACAUGGGGCAUUUGCCAUCCCAGAAACUUCAGGAAUGUUCCCCCUUUGUGUCAGAAUCUGGUAUUCCAUGCUGUUUUGUAUUCGGCUGAGGUCAGAUUCCGCUCUCCAGCUCUCCAGGUUCACCAGGGCAGUAUGCAUUCACCUCCCUGGUUCCAGACUGUGUAUUUGGCAGGAUGGAGGUUUGGCGGGCACAAUGAUUUGAGUCAUCAUUUGAGUGGGAGAAGAUAUUUGAACUGCACUGCACUUCUUUCAGGAUUCAGCAAAUUGGUAUAGAUUUUUCUAGAUUUUUCCAGUUGGUUCAUGCCUAUUAUUUCUCCACUCAAGCAGAUAGACAUAUAAUGAAACACGGACUACUAAAACCAUGUCAAUUUUUCCUAAUGCUGAAAUCCUUUCAUGCCAUGUUCCAUAACCCCAUUCCUGAUUCUGAGGCCUUAUUUGUCAUUAGAAAUUAUUGCAAACCAGGCUCUUUACUGUAAAAUCAAAGAUGGGUCCUCAGUACUGUUAUAGAUGCUUCCUAAAACCAUUGAAAUCAUACACUGCGAUCAAAGACCGUGGGGAGAGAAUCCCUUGCACCUUCAUAAAGCAGCUUGUUGCGUGACAGUAAUGAUGUAAGCAGUGGAGAUUUAUACUAAUACAAGGGUGGGAAGUGUUCAGUUGUGAAGAAGUGCUUAUGUGUACACAAACAACAAAUGUUCACAUUCGAUGGUAGAAAUUUUAAAAAGGCAGAUUUAUUAGGUGACAAAGACUUAAAAGUCAUCAGAUAGAUUGGUAAAGAGUACUCCAAUAGCUCAGAUAAUUCCAUGAAAGAGACACUCACUCAAAAACAAACAGGUGACUGGAUGAGGGGAGCACAGAUCUUUGUCAUCUCAAAUGGAUGCAGGCCCCCCCACGUGGCCACAAGCAGUGACUAAUUCCCAUUUGGGGGUGGAGCACACAAAACAAUGAGCUGGCAUUGUCAGGAAAUUAAUCCAAGAUGAAGUGCAAUAAAGAAUAUUGGGAAAGGAAUGCGCGCA
rnacentral:lncRNA from 1 species